AACUACACCAAAGUAAGCUCAUUUUUAUUUUGAGCACAUACAUGAAUCGAGCUUUACAUGUUAUUGUUGGUUGGAUCUAACACAAUGGCACUCUAAGCAGUUAAGUGAUGAAUAAGUGACCUUCUGGAAAUUUGUUUCUUAUUUUUAAUCAUAUUGAUAGUGGAGAAAUUGGAGGAUCCCCUUAGAUAAAUUUUGCAAGGAAGGAAUGAAAUUCAUCAACUCUCUUUGGGGGUCCCUGUCAAAUUUUAUCAAUUGUCUCUCCUGUCUGUAAAGUUUCAGCUGAUUACGGUGCAAUUAUAUCAUUCCACUAGGAUGCUUGAAAAAACUUUUGGCUUGAAGCAUGUAUCUAUUAAUUUAUGAGAACUUUUAGCGCAUUGUAUACUUGCAUUCUUAUACAAUCGGGAUAAAGGCCUGGGUGAGUUGUCUAAACCAUUUUAUU
rnacentral:misc_RNA from 1 species